rnacentral:lncRNA from 1 species
CCGUGUUUACUUCGUGUCAGUGCGCGUAUCCUUUUCCGCGAAACUUUAUUUCGAAUUGUCGAGUGCGAGCAUAGUUUUCAAAUAUUUUAUUCUUCUUCGUUAGUAAUAUAUACUUUAAUUAAAAUAAUAUAGACGCGCAAGAGUGUCGAGAUCGAAAUGAAUAGAAUUGUUAUUUUUUAAAAUUCAAAUCUCGUUAAGUGUUCGUUUACUCCGAUCGUGCGUCAUCUUUUUUUUUUUUAAAUUUGGUUCGUUCGUUAAACGAUCGGGAGUGAUUUAAAGAAGAAAUUAUCGAAAAACUACGAUGGAAAACAACCUGUGUGCGCGUGUUUAACAUACCACCAGUGUAUACUUCGUUAUGUGCGUGGGUUUGUUUUAUUUUAAACAAGAACGCGAGUGAUUAUAUUUGUGAUACUUCCUUCUUAAGUCGAGAGAGAGACACAGUUACAAUUUACCCGCGCAAAUUCAAAUCCGGAUCGGAGUACAGUUUUCAUUAGGGUUUGGUAAAGGGCGAUAGAAUUUUGCAACAAGGCGAUAAUUCGCAAUUAAAGUAGGCACUCGACAUUUGUGUGUGGUGGUGGAGGUGGUGAUGGUGGUGGUGGUGGUGGUGGUGGUGGUCGAUGAAUUGGCUCGUGAAAGUGCAACCACGCUGAGAGAGAGACUUCGGGUUCACUGAGGGGUACUGAACAAAAAAAUAAAAAAAGAAAGGGAAGCAAGGGGAGUAGGGGAAAAAGGAAAAGGGUUGCAUUUAACAGCAGGAAAAUUGG